AACGAACGCUGGCGGCGUGCUUAACACAUGCAAGUCGAACGCGAAAGGGACUUCGGUCCUGAGUAAAGUGGCGCACGGGUGAGUAACGCGUAGAUAACCUGUCUUCAUGUCUGGAAUAAUACGCCGAAAGGGGUACUAAUACCGGAUAUUCUUGCUUUUCAUAAGUUAUGCAAGCAAAGGUGGCCUCUGCAUAUGCUACUGCAUGAAGAGGGGUCUGCGUACCAUUAGCUAGUAGGUGGGGUAAUGGCCUACCUAGGCGACGAUGGUUAGCGGGUCUGAGAGGAUGAUCCGCCACACUGGCACUGGAACACGGGCCAGACUCCUACGGGAGGCAGCAGUGAGGAAUAUUGCGCAAUGGGGGAAACCCUGACGCAGCGACGCCGCGUGAGUGAGGAAGGCCUUCGGGUCGUAAAGCUCUGUCAAGAGGAAAGAAGUGUACAAUGGCUAAUACCUGUUGUAUUUGACGGUACCUCUAAAGGAAGCACCGGCUAACUCCGUGCCAGCAGCGGC
rnacentral:rRNA from 1 species